rnacentral:tRNA from 2 species
UCCUCCGUGGCGCAAUUGGCUAGCGCGUUCGACUGUUAUUAACAGGAAAUCGAGAGGUUGACAGUUCAAGCCUGUCCGGGGGAG